CCCCACACUGGGAACUGAAAACACGGUCCCAGACUCCUACGGGAGGCAGCAGUGAGGAAUAUUGCACAAUGGGCGCAAGCCUGAUGCAGCGACGCCGCGUGGGUGAUGAAGGUUUUCGGAUCGUAAAGCCUUUUCUAGAUGACGAGUAAGGACGGUAGUCUAGGAAUAAGUGUCGGCUAACUACGUGCCAGCAGCCGCGGUAAAACGUAGGACACAAGCGUUAUCCGGAGUUACUGGGCGUAAAGGGGCGUGUAGGCGGAACCUGUAAGUCUAUUCUGAAAGCUCCUAGGCUAAACUGGGAGAGGCGAAUGGAGACUGCAGAUCUAGAGUGAGGAAGAGGAAAGUGGAAUUCCGCGUGUAGUGGUGAAAUGCGUAGAGAUGCGGAGGAACACCAGUGGCGAAAGCGACUUUCUGGUCCUUAACUGACGCUGAGGCGCGAAAGCAUGGGGAGCGAACGGGAUUAGAAACCCCGGUAGUCCAUGCCAUAAACGAUGUUCACUAAACGUUCGUUUCCCGCGAGGGAAGCGGGUGUUGAAGCCAACGCAGUAAGUGAACCGCCUGGGGAGUACGGUCGCAAGGCUAAAACUCAAAGGAAUUGACGGGGGACUGCACAAGCAGCGGAGCGUGUGGUUUAAUUCGAGGCUACACGAAGAACCUUACCUGGGUUUGACAUCGUGUUGAAGUGCCCAUGAAAGUGGGUAUGCCUCGCAAGAGCAUUACGACAGGUGCUGCAUGGCUGUCGUCAGCUCGUGCCGUGAGGUGUUCGGUUAAGUCCGCCAACGAGCGCAACCCUCGGUGCCAGUUACAAGUGUCUUGGCGCGACUGCCCGUGGCAAGCGGGAGGAAGGUGGGAUGACGUCAAGUCA
rnacentral:rRNA from 1 species